AAAGGAUUCAUUCAAGUAGUUUUCCAUCAUGGAAAUUUUGUGUUUACAGUAAAGAAUUGAUAUUUAAAUAUUGUUCACGUUCACAACUCGUGACUCUUGGGUAUAUAAACGCAAGGUACGAAAGAUGAGUUAUAUAUUGUUCUAAAACAGCAUCGCUAGGAUCAUAACUGCUUUAGAAGGAUAUUAUGAUUAAAAAACAAAGUGCCUAUCUAAGUGAUCUAAGCUACCGACAACAGCAAUGCCAGAGAAUACCGAGUACAAGAAUAUGGACGGCAGAAUUAGAAGCUUCUCUAAUUGGAGCUUUCCUUCCGAUCCCUCCAAACUUGCUAAUGCGGGAUUUUAUGCUACAGUUGAGGACAGCUGUGGAACACCGAGUACCUUCCAAGUAUUAUCGGAUACCAUGACCUCGUUAGGUGUUUUGCGUGCAAUCUUGGAUUGAGGUACCUGACCGCCGAUGAUGACCCAUUGUCAGAGCACAUUAAACACUGUCGAUCAGAUUGUGCCUACCUGAAUGAACUCACUGGCGAACAUCAGGAUCCCAACUGUUUUUCGGAUGAACAAGCGGAGAUGUCAGAUACCGAAGACGAGCUAGAACAGCUUGAGGAGCAGAAUGCUACACUGAGGGAGAGGGUCACGUGUAAGGUCUGUCGAGAGAGGUCAGCUAUAGUCUUGCUGCUUCCCUGUAGUCACCUGGCCGCCUGCGUCCAGUGUGGACCCAACUUGACCACCUGUCCCGUGUGUAACCGGCGAAUUGUUGAGACUGUUAGGACCUUCAUUGGAUGAAGCUACCGAUGGCUUUUUCAACAGAUGCGCGAAAGAACAUAAGACAAUCACUAGUAGUCGUCGUCGGCAUAUAGGUUCGAUCGAAGUGACUUGAUAGUUCAUCUAAAGUUGUGUUAUUUGAGGGUAUCAAAAUAUCACAUUAAUUAAGUGAUAUAUUCAUGACAAUGAAUACUAUUCUAAAACCCAAGAUAUCUCGGAAUAAAUGUACUCGAUCGUUGUCAUAUGUUGCGCUGACAAACACUGAUUAUUCAGGCUAAUAUUUUACAUGCACAAUAAUGUGUUCACAUGUACAAAAUGUAAAAGCAUGGAGUAUUUUUUACUUAGUUUAAGACUAUUAGGUGUUGUAAAUAAAAAUGUGUAGAAAAUGUGUGUUUUUUUAAUUUGUUUCCGUUUGUCAAUACUAACACGUAUUAUUUACUUAAAGGUGUACUCUUACUCUUAAAUAAGAUUUACCACAAUUAAUAAUAUAGUUUUAGUAUUUCAAACAAAGGGUGAAGAAAUGUCCAAAACAAUGGUUCUUAUGAAGGAUACCGAGUUUUAGUUUAAUUUGAAAGAAAUGAGCAUACAAUAUGGUAUUUCUACCUUAUGAGACUUAUGAGACUAAAGCAAACCACAGUAAAUCGUUUAGCAUUCACCAAUCAUGUAAUAUGUUUGCGCCUUCUGCUAUUAAGUACAUAGUAACAAUCUUGUUAUCAGUAAUUAAUAUUUUACAUAAAAUCAUUAUUUAGUAAGUAUGUAAAGGUAUACCAGUCAAAAUUGAUGUUUGUUAUACAUGUGUUUGUAUUGAUUAUGAAUAAGAGUGAUAUUAAUUAUUGCUAAAUAUAAUAGAAAUCAUU